CACCAAUCCUGGGUCUCAAAGCUCAACUCAGGCUGCUUUAAACAAUUCCUAUGUGGCUAUGCUCAAAGGGACUGCUCUACCAACUGGGGCUCACUGGAGGGCAGUAUCCUCAGGCCACACCCUCAGAAUGUCCCUCUGCAGUAGGUGCUUGGAAUUGGAAAGGCGUAGACUAGAUACCAGCUCUGUGCCACCCAAGAAUGCCCCUACGCCAGGAGAAUCCCCAUUUGGGAAGAACCACUGGCUUUCUUGCCCCUUUGCACUGCUGUUGGAGCAGCACAAAGGACCUGGAGUGGAGCUCAGGACUGACCUCAGAGGAGCCAAUCUUCCAUGGAAACGCUACCAGCCCACCCACAACUGCAGCUGCAUUAGACCAUCCACUGUUGCAACAUGAAUCACAGGAAUACGGAUUAAGAAUCUGCUUUGAGUUUAGACCAUCAUCUGUAAAUUUAUGGUCAGCAAAGCUGAGGAGGGAGGCAAAGGUUAGCCGCCUUCAUUUCUCUCUCCUUCCUGAGCGCCAAACUGGCCCUCAUGCAAGUAAGAGCAUCUGUGGGGCUGCUCUAAAUUAUGCCAACUGCAAUGUCCCCUAGUGGUGGCUCAGGACGACUGGAGUGCAUCACACACUGGCUCCACCUUCUUCCCCACACCACAAUAUAUCUGAACUGUGGAUGUCUGUGGAUGCUUUAAAUUCCCUCUAUGCUGCUAGAGUGGUGCAAAGUGGAUUUAGUCAGGAUUGAAGUGCUAUGUGUUUGAACUGAAUUGUCUCUCUGAGAAUGUGUAAGCUUCUGGAAGCAGGGACCAGAUUUUCCCCUAUGUUCUGUAAAGUCUUGAACACAAUAAUGAUGAUAAAAAUGCAAUUAUACUUCAUGACCUGGCUUUACAAAUGGCAUUGUGAGUUAGCAUGGCUAGUGGCUCAAUAACAAUUUUGCUCUGUCUACAAGUAAAAAGAUGGCCUUUUUCUAACUGCCAGCCCCACAAACUCCACCUCGGAUCUAAAAGUCCAGCUGGAGUCUUUCUUGCUCUGACGCCACUAGUAGCUAAGUUCCUGUUGCAGAAUCCUUAACAAUUCUGUUAAUUAUGAAGAAGCUGAUAAAUAUUACAAGCAUUGUAAGGUGCAUGAGCCAGAAAAAUCCAGUUCAGUCUCUCUCCAUUGGGCUCUGCAAAGCUAUCAGGAUUGGAAUAAAAUAUAUUAUUGUCAGAAAAGUUGGUGUACACACAGUCUGCUGAGUAAGGAAGUGUUGUUUCUAACAUACAGCUUCUGGGCCAGAUUUUGAUUUUUGUUACAUAAAGGGAAAUCUGGAAUAACUCCUUUGGGUUAUUUGAGUUUUACACUAGCCUAAGUGAGGGAGCAGAAUCAUGCAUUUUAACCAUAAUUGCCCUUUAUUAAUAACAAUACUAAAUGCUGCACAAAUUAACAUAGUGACAGAUUGAGAGUCCGAUGUGCUUCUGUAUAGAAUUCUGGGAGGGGUGUGUCAUCUGAACUAUCAUACAGAAGACUGAAAGGCAUAAGGGAUGAUAUGUAUGAACCAUACCUGCAGUGUGAUAGGAGUCAUUGCUAUCGGGGACUGACAGCCAUGGUCAAGAGCAACAAUAGAAGCUGAAUGGAGACUUGGCCCGUUGCUUGUGCACGUAUCUCACAACCUUUUAAGGCUACAGUGUGAGACUUAAAUGAAUCAACAUGAUGGACACUAGCAAAAGAGGAGAUGGAAAACGUGGUGCAGAGAAACAGUUGUGUCUAAUGUAAAAAGACUUCUCCCAGAGGACCAGAUUCUGAUACCCUUUACUCACCUUGAGUGGCAUCUUCCUCCACAAGAGGUAGCCACCUAAGUCGAUGGGAAGUAAGGUGCUAUGUAUUGUAUGUGUAUCAGAAGCAGGCGCACGCAGAUAGGAACUGAAGCGCACUGUACAUUUCUGUGCGGUAUUUCAUGUGUGCACAGGAUAUACAUCUGGAAUAACUUGUUUUUCAGCCUGUUAUCUCCUUGUGGGUGAGAAGUUUGCUGUUUUCUAAAGCCAGUUGACUUCAUUCAAAAUGUCUUCUGACUCUGUCUCUUUAAUUUUAUUUCCCCCUGUUUUUUAAAGGCGAUCUUUUCUCUUGAAGCAGAGAAUUUGCCGGGAGUAUAGAUGAGUCACAGAUACUGUAUUUCCUCUUCUCCAGAGCACGUUGCCAUUCAUGCCAAUUACAGCUGCCUGUGAUCAGCCGUACAUUCCAAAAUAUCCGAGGGGGGAGGAUAUGCCAAAUCAGCCUGAAAGUAAAGUAUGUAGAUGCAAGUAACUGCAGGUGUGAAAUGUGAGGCCCAAUGAACAGCCAACUGAAAAUCAGGCAUGCAUAUAGGAUAAUUGACAAGAUAUGGUAAGUCUGAUUGUGUCACUUUCAGUGUAUCUGAGAGCUUUACGUAGGGGCCCGUCUUGUAACAGAGAGCACCUCUGCAGUGAUUAGUAAUUCCUCUGAAUAGGCAGCUGGCGCCCCAGCAACAGUCUGUGUUUGACCUUCAUCCAUAACCAGAAGGAGAUGCUUGUUACGGCCUCACUGUACUGCACUAGUUAUUCCAGCAACUCCACUGGCACUUCAGCCCAAAGUAGGCUCUGUACCUGUUAUCUGGAAGGAGGAUAGCAACUAAUUUUAUGGUUUGACUCCCUCACCAAAAUAACCUAUCAUAGUUCAGAGAGGUAGCUAGGCAUUGGAAAUUUGUACACACUCCCUGGCUUCUGCUUUCCCCCCACACUCAGUAUAGCCAGAAUACCCAAGAUAGACCUACCAGUAAACAAAAUUCUACCUUGUACCCUAUGGGACCCUCUCCUCUGGGGCUAUGUGGGGCUUGAGGGGAAGAGGUGGGAGAAAAGAGGAAGGAACCACAAUCCACAGAAUUCCCCUCUCCAUCCCCCUGGAUAACACCACCUGAACUAGGGCUGUCGGAAGGAGUUUUACUAAAUCUCCAUGCCUGAGCAUACUUCGGAAGGGUGAUGAGGGGGGAAAAGGUUGCUUUGGCCUUUGUUUGGCUUUUUGUGCAGGUGCAGGUGCAGCAUCCCACUGGAUUCAAUCCUCCAUGUCUCCCUUCCAUGAGAUCCCCUGGUUCUGAGAGAAGGUACCACCCAAGCCAUCCCCAGGAGGGCAAGUUUUGAAGGUAACCCUCAGAUUCAUAAUCGCUGUAAUGAGGCCGUCCAAGUUUUCAGGACAUCUGCUAUAACCUUGUACUGUACGUCUAUGGCUAAUGGCUGACACAUCUGACUUCUCACAGCCUUAGAGCAACAGUGUAGCGCUAACGGCAGCAGGCUGUUACAAAUCCAACUCCCCAGUCAGCUUGAGUGUCAGUCAAGGAUUUCACAGGAAAAUGAGUAACUUGGAAGCCGACACCACUCAUGGCUUCUGUUUUUCAUUUUGGGUCAAAAGCUUCUUUAAACCCUCCGUGUAUCUCAGAGCCAGCCCCAGCCAUCUGGAUACCUUAUGGAAACCUCCCAUUAACCUUCCACCACACUCAAAAUGGACUGAAAAGGACAGUGCCAAUGCUCUGUACAGGGAAAAUCAUUGUAAAGCAAUUGUAUGAUAUGUUGAAAUCCUACAUUGAUCAACUGUGUGGAAUGGAAACAUUCUAAUUUGUGCAAAACUCCCUGCAAGUCCACCAUACACAAUUUAAUGUCUCUCUCUCUUUAAAUCAUGAAUCAUAGGCUGACAUUUUCAAGCUUGGGUGUUAGGAACCUAAACAAAAGUGGCCUGGUUUAUUUUCACAGUUGCUGAGCAGCCACAAACGCCCACUGACGCCUCUGAAAAUCAGGUGACUUAUUUACAUUAGGUGCUCAAUUAUGGAUGUACAUGUCUGGCUUAAGGUAUGUGCAUUGGCCGCAAUACUGUUUCCCAUUAUUAUGCCAUUCUCCAAAGCUUUACUGCUUGGCAAACUCGUCCAUUACAUAUUGUUACUGAAAAAUCAACAUUGCAACUACUUUCUACACAGUUGCUACAGGUGUUCACACUAGUGAACUAUGUCUUUUAUUAUUAAUUACAGCAUCCACAGUGUGCUAAAUGCAGACAGACAUGGAAAGUGACAGUCCAAAAGCCUAUGUUCUAUGAAGAAAAGAAAUGGGGUUAGGUCUGGAAACAGAUAAAAUAUACAGACAUUUUAUAUAGGAUUACGAUUAUAUAGGAU